UACGUAGGGUGCGAGCGUUGUCCGGAAUUAUUGGGCGUAAAGAGCUCGUAGGCGGUGUGUCACGUCGGCCGUGAAAACCUGCAGCUUAACUGUGGGCGUGCGGUCGAUACGGGCAUCACUGGAGUUCGGCAGGGGAGACUGGAAUUCCUGGUGUAGCGGUGAAAUGCGCAGAUAUCAGGAGGAACACCGGUGGCGAAGGCGGGUCUCUGGGCCGAUACUGACG
rnacentral:rRNA from 1 species